AUCCCGUUUCCAGGCACUGGCGAUGUCUUACUGGCUCCCAUAAUGAUAAGCCACCCGUUGGCAUAUGUCGCACCUACCACCCGACACACUCUGCCUGGGGAGUACGGUCGCAAGACCGAAACUCAAAGGAAUUGGCGGGGGCCUGCACAAGCGGUGGAGCAUGUGGUUUAAUUCGAUACAACGCGCAAAACCUUACCAGCCCUUGACAUAUGAACAACAAAACCUGUCCUUAACAGGAUGGUACUGACUUUCAUACAGGUGUUGCAUGGCUGUCGUCAGCUCGUGUCGUGAGAUGUUUGGUCAAGUCCUAUAACGAGUGAAACCCUCGUUUUGUGUUGCUGAGACAUGCGCCUAAGGAGAAAUUGCCACCGAGUGACGUGCCAGCGCUACUACUUGAUUGAAUGCCAGCACGUAGCUGUGCUUUUAGCAAGAAUUUCACCAUUGGGAGCCAGUGCCUUUUGAAGCACUUUCACGUGUGAACCGAAGUCGUCUUGUCCAAGACCCACGGAGACCUACCUAUAGUGACGUCAAAGUACUAGUGAGCAUGGAGGUUUGGUUGAAAUUGGUUACGACGACGUCGAGUUGGCGGCAGAGGAAGACUCGGCAUGAAGGCCAGAAAAUGGUGUGGAACGUAGUGGUAAUAGUACGCGCCCCGCUUCGAAACAAAGAAAAAGGUGCGUGCCGCACUCACGAGGGACUGCCAGUGAGAUACUGGAGGAAGGUGGGGAUGACGUCAAGUCUGCAUGGCCCUUAUGGGCUGGGCCACACACGUGCUACAAUGGCAAUGACAAUGGGAAGCAAGGCUGUAAGGCGGAGUGAAUCCGGAAAGAUUGCCUCAGUUCGGAUUGUUCUCUACAACUCGGGAACAUGAAGUUAAAAUCGCUAGUAAUCGCGGAUCAACAUGCCGCGGUGAAUAUGUACCCGGGCCCUGUACACACCGCCCGUCACACCCUGGGAAUUGGUUUCGCCCGAAGCAUCGGACCAAUGAUCACCCAUGACUUCUGUGUACCACUAGUGCCACAAAGGCCUUUGGUGGUCUUAUUGGCGCAUACCACGGUGGGGUCUUCGACUAGGGUGAAGUCGUAACAAGGUAGCCGUAGGGGAACCUGUGGCUC
rnacentral:rRNA from 1 species